AUAAAAGAGUAAAGAAUAAUCCCAGCUGCAUUAUGUGGUUCUUUUAAGGUUUUUACAUUUUGUGACACUUAACAUAUUAAUGCCUAUAGCGGGAGAGUGAUGCGUUUAAUGCCAAGGACACACCUGGAACAGGUGAAGCAGAUCUGGAAGUGAGCGAAAGUUUACCUUAGACUUCUUGAAUUUUUAUUCUUAAUUUCAUUUAACUUUAUCAUUUUUAUUUUUAUCUUGACAGACUACUUGAUAAGAAAAACACUUUUUUUGUUUUUUGCAGUGUAGUAUUUGCUUUGAUGUUUGCCUAAUGAGCUCUCCCCCUCUUCAAACCCCACCCUCCUCUGCUCUGAAAGUAACAUAUAUUAUAACUGUUCAUUUUUUCCCGGGGCUACUGACCAUAUGAUUAAGGAUCCUCAGACAAUUCAAAAUACCGUACAUGUGACACAUCAAAUAACAAUAUGCCUGAGGUACAAUAGGUUAUUUUGCAGAUAGAAGGGUGGAUACCCGGAUAAACUGACAGUGUCUUUUAUCCCUGUUGCAAUAUGAGGCCUGAUAGGGUCCUCAAUAUAUGUAAAUUAUACAGUUUGUCUCCAAGGGCUGCCAUGUUCGAGUCGCAAAUAAGAAUAAAAUGCUAUUUCCGCUUAUAAUAAUGCAAUAGGUAUUCAAAUCAUGUUUUGCACCACUUUCAGCAUUUUUUUCCACGCAAUGUGGCAUUUAGCGAUUUAACAAAAAAAAAAAGGCGACGCAAAAUAAUUAUGGUUGCAAUCAAGUUACUACGAAAACCUAUUUGAUUAGCGGCCACACUUUACUCAAAUUGCAGCUAUAAAAUUAAGAACAAUUCGCCUGUAAUGAUUAUGGACUGGAUUUAUUUUGGGAGGGUGGAAUAAAAGUGGAUAUAGCAUAAAUUAUCCCCUAAUUAUACGCCAGUGUGGCCUCAAUUAUCCUCUUAUCAAAAAUGGUUGUCUAAAUGCAGCGUUUAGUUUCAAUUUUCUCCUUUUCUGUAACAAGAACUUGGUACCUUGCUAUUAUCGUCAGCUACGGUUGUUAUUUACUUUGUGGGAUUUAAAAGUGCACAACCCAGCCGGAUAAUCAUUUUACAGCAGCGGACCAAGGAGAGGAGCACAGAGGCAGGGAUGUGUUGCAGCCGAAGGCAUCCACAUGGAUUUGUUUUAUUCCUGCAGAGUCCUUUAGAUUAAGCGAGUCUGAUUCAGAUUAAUCAGAGUCGCUCUUUUGUCGUCGGGAGGGCUGCAGGUACGCCUCCAUCCCCUCUUGGCAGCUCCAUCUCCUCCUCGCCUCCCCUGUCUCUCCACCCUCUCCCUGGUUGGUUUCCACAGCUGUGGUGAGUGAGGGGCAGAUGACCGGAGAAUUGGCCCCUGGGAGAGCGCUGAGCCAUCCUGGUGCUAUUAGGCUCGUGGCUAAUAAUAGGUGUUUCAGACCGGGGGAAGAUCAAUCAGGGGGAAUCAUGGGGAAUGUUCAGAGCAGCGCUUUUUACACAUCGGCCCAGAUGGAUGAAAUUACACUUGUCAGUUUUUAGUUGCAUUACUCACAAAUUGGUUGUCUACUCUUUUUUCUCCCCCCCUCCCUCCCUCUCCCUCUCCCUCUCUCUCCCUCCCUCACUCCCUCUUCUCUCCUUUCUCUCUCUUUGCCCCCAUUCAUGUGUCAGUGGCCCGCUAAAAGGAUUCGGUGGUGAAAUCCCUGUCAUUUUUGUCUUUUCCCUGUUUAGCCCUCAGCCAGCAUCUCUUUUGCCUGCAUGUAUGCACUUAGGAGAAAUCAGCAGAAGAUCUCGCCUCGGCCACUUUCAGUGCUGAAGUGCGCGCAACUGACAUUCUGUUCGAGUCCUGCAUGUAUAAUAAAAAAAACAAAAAAACAUUUAAUUGGAAAGAGAUCAACUGACAGAAAACGAAUGACGAUAAAUGUCAGUGAUUUUCCUUUCCUUUCCACUGCGAGGGUGUUCGGAUUUUUAUGUUUCCUACUGUAUGUAUGCAAUAUGAAAGUCUUUUCUUAGUUAAGAUCUAACACACUAACUGUUGUCAGUUCAAAGAUGACAUAAGAAUCCGCCCUGUAUUUUAUAGUUCAGAGUAAAAAUUUGGGCUUUCGAAUCAUUCAUUGCAUAUUUACAUAAAUUCUGUAGCUAAACCAAAUUGCUAAAUGUGUGAAAUUCAAUAAUUAUAUUGUUACUUCUGAAUAAUCCUGUAUAAUUGCAAUGUAAUUAAACCUGUCAAGUGCAAAUGAGACAUUCGGGCUGUAUCUCACUGUUUGAAAGUGAAUAAAAUUCACCAUGCAAUA